GAGCGGGUCCCGACGAACGCUGUCCCCAAAAAUAUAUCAGAUAUUCUGAAAAAUCAAUCAGAUUCGUAUUUCUAAAGGAAUAAAUCCGAUUGGUUUAUGUUAAGACCGACUUGUUAAUAUGAUGAGUAUAGAUCACCAGUCGGAUCUUUUUAGGAGAUCCCAUGGAUCCGUGUGUUCUAUUACUAACGUAAUUAUUUCUAUUAUUCAAUAAUAUAAAUUGUUCGUAAGAAAUCUAAAUCACUAAUCAAUACUACUUAAGUUUAAAUUAAUAACACAUGAAGGAGCUUUUUACAUUAAAAAAAUUUUAAGAAAUCUUUGUCAAACCCAUGAUGAUAUAUAUAUAUAUAUAUAUAACAUCANNNNNNNNNNNNNNNNNNNNAAAAAUACAUAAUUAUCAAAUUUUAUGCUAUAGAUUCGAGCAUCAUAUCAAAAGAAUUGGAUAUCAUGAAAAAAUUAAUAUACUAGUAAAAUAGAUAAUAUAUCGAAAAAAAUAAUAUACCAAAUAUUCGAACGAAAUAUUGAAAGAUCGAACAAUAAAUAUUCGAUGUGUAUAAAGCGUCAAAACUUCAUCAGAUAUACUACAGAUUUGUGAAAGUUUUGAUUAAAAUCAUUUUGGAUCAAUUUAAAUUUGGAUAAAAAAAGUUACCUAAAAUUAUGGGAAGAAGUUAGUGAUUGAUAAAAAAUUAUACUGAGGUAUGUAUGGUCUAGAAGGAAGAUGAUUAAAGAUUUCAAAAGGUUAUAAUAAGCUACACAGGUAGGAAAUGAUAGCUAGCAUGAGUAUUGUUUAAAGAUGAAAAGUGAUAUUUAUAAUUUCAAAUUUAUAAACAAUUGUAAAAUAAAAAUACGGUUGCUGGUCAAACGAGAGACAAAAAUCUCUUUUCAAUGUUAAGUAUAAUUAUUGAUUUGAUUUUGAGUACACAUAGUUCAUUAAUGGUUUAUUAGAUCAAGUAUUAGAUUAUAUAUAGAUGUGAUAUUUUUUUUUUUAAAGCAAACGAUGCACGUGUUAUCUAUAAGAUAUGUAAAAUGAAAAAGAAAAUACUCACGAACCAAGUUGCUUGGAGAAUAAUGAAUUCAAGUAUCCAUAGAAACUUUUAAAUAUCAAGAAUUGAUUAUUUUAUAUGUAAUUCAUUUAUCUAAACAUACUUGGAUGUUAUGAUCUUCUCUAAUUCAUGUUGAGAAAAAUUAUUUUUUUAUUUAUACGAGAAAAUUCGAUCUUUGUAUUUUAUUAUUUUUUAUAUAUUGAGAUAUUUGAGUUUUGGACAUCACUCACAAGUGUUAACACUGUAUAUCUUUUUUUAUUCUUUAGAAUUUGAUCUUUUUGGUUUUUUAAUAUAUUAACAAAGUAAUCAAUUUUCAAUUGGUUAUGAAAGGGUUAAAGUUCAUUUUAGUCGUUUUGGUCAUAUACAUCUUAAACCCUUAUGGAUUAUUCAUAUCUAAAAUAAAUUUUAUAUUAAAAAAUAUAUAUAUAACAUAUAAACUUCUUCUGUCAAGUUCGAGUUAAUAGACGUAAGAGUCUGCUUAUAUGGUAUGCUAACUCAUAAUAAACUAUUAAUACAAUGACACAUUUAAUUUAAGUUUUUUUAAAAAAAUUAUUUUAGUCUUUAUGAUUUUGGUCAUAGACUAUUUAAGUCCUUAUGAUUUUAUUUGUGUCUAAAAUAACUCAUAUGUUUUUAAAAACAUAAUAUAUAAGUCUCUCUCAUCAAGUCUAAGUUGACAAAUAUUAUAGUAUAUUUAUAUGACAUAUUAACUCAUAAUAAAUCAUUAAUAUAAUGAUAUGUAUAAUUUAAGUUUUAAAAAAAAAUUAUCUUCUCGAUGAAGAGGAAGUGGCGGACAAAAGUGAAGAGGCGGAGAUUAGAAGUGAAGGUGAGAGGGAGUUGGACCAUCACGUCAUAGGCACGAUAGAUGAGGGCGUAAGAGAGGGCAAUGUGAAAGGUAAUGGGGAUGAUGAUGCCUAGGUGGAGAAAGAGGGAUUAGGAGAUCAUGCUUAGCAUAGAACUGGUUAAUGCGUAUCCACUAAAGGCAUGACUGAAGCUCUUAAACUCGUCAUCAACAUGGGAGAGACCACGUGUAUAUGAUGCUCUCCCAGGCAACAACAACUUGAUGCUACUACUAGCGAUCGCUUUCACGAUGAUAUCUCCUCCCACCAUUGAUGUCGAUCUUAAUUUUUUUAGUUUAAAGUAUAUGUGUUAUUAUAUUAAUGAUUUAUUAUGAAUCAAUAUGUCACGUAAGUAGACACUAAUAUCUAUUAACUCAAACUUGAUAAAAGAAACUUAUAUGUUAUAUUUUUAAAAAUAUAUGGAUUAUUUUAAAUACGAAUAAAACCAUAAGGACCUAAGUGGUGCAUGAUGAAAACAAUAAGAGUUAAAAUAAAUUUAUUUUAAAAUUUAAAUUAUAUGUAUAAUUAUAUUAAUAGUUUAUUAUGAAUCGGUAUGUUACAAAGACUCUAAUAUUUGUUAUUUCAGACUUGAUGAUAAGAACUUAUAUGUUACAUUUUUUAAAAUAUAUUAAUUAUUUUAGACGUAAAUAAUUUAUAAGAACUUAAGUGUUACAUGAUCGAAACCACAGCUAAAAAAUAUCUUAACCGAAACCCGAUCAAUUUGUAUGGGACGAUCGGCUGAUCAAUUCAAUCUCCCCGAUGAUAGACCAAGCCAAUAGAUCAUGUUUUCCAUAUAAUCAACGACCAUCACACAAAAUAAAGAGAAUAGAAAAGACAAGAACGAAAACAUUUAUUGCACCUGUCGACGGUAGCUCGGGCAAUUAGGAUUAAAGUAGCCGCGUUGUCGGAGGAGAGAGAGGAGCCGCGGUGGGCGGCUGAGGCACGAAUAGCCUUAGCGGUGAGGAACGGGGAAGAGGACGAGGAGUCGUCCUCCCAUACGGGGAAUGAGCGGAAGUCCUCGAUGGUGGCGGACCGUGGCGUACUGUGCCUCCGACGAUACGCCAUCUCUC
rnacentral:lncRNA from 1 species